GGCUCAGUAGGUUGGUCGUGCCACCGGUACGUACUGGUCUCACUGAUUCCUCCUUCCUGAAGAGCCGUAAUGCCAUUAAUUUGGUGUUGCGGGGAAACAGGACUGUUACUUUGAAAAAAUUAGAGUGUUUAAAGCAAGCUAACGCUUGAAUACAUUAGCAUGGAAUAAUGAAAUAGGACGAUCGAUCCUAUUUUGUUGGUUUCUAGGAUUGACGUA
rnacentral:rRNA from 1 species